AUUGAACGCUGGCGGCAUGCUUUACACAUGCAAGUCGAACGGCAGCGCGGGCUUCGGCCUGGCGGCGAGUGGCGAACGGGUAAGUAAUGCAUCGGAACGUGCCCAGUAGUGGGGGAUAGCUCGGCGAAAGCCGGAUUAAUACCGCAUACGACCUGAGGGUGAAAGCGGGGGAUCGUCAGCCCUCGCGCUAUUGGAGCGGCCGAUGGCAGAUUAGCUAGUUGGUGGGGUAAAGGCUUACCAAGGCGACGAUCGGUAGCUGGUCUGAGAGGACGACCAGCCACACUGGGACUGAGACACGGCCCAGACUCCUACGGGAGGCAGCAGUGGGGAAUUUUGGACAAUGGGCGAAAGCCUGAUCCAGCAAUGCCGCGUGUGUGAAGAAGGCCUUCGGGUUGUAAAGCACUUUUGGCGGGAACGAAAAGGACUGUGCCAAUACCACGGUGCGAUGACGGUACCCGCAGAAUAAGCACCGGCUAACUACGUG
rnacentral:rRNA from 1 species